CACGGGGGGAGCAAGCGUUGUUCGGAAUCACUGGGCGUAAAGGGUGCGUAGGCGGGUCUUUAAGUCAGGGGUGAAAUCCUGGAGCUCAACUCCAGAACUGCCUUUGAUACUGAAGAUCUUGAGUUUGGGAGAGGUGAGUGGAACUGCGAGUGUAGAGGUGAAAUUCGUAGAUAUUCGCAAGAACACCAGUGGCGAAGGCGGCUCACUGGCCCGAUACUGACGCUGAGGCACGAAAGCGUGGGGAGCAAACAGG
rnacentral:rRNA from 1 species